rnacentral:rRNA from 1 species
UACGUAGGUGGCAAGCGUUGUCCGGAAUUAUUGGGCGUAAAGCGCGCGCAGGCGGUCCUUUAAGUCUGAUGUGAAAGUCUACGGCUCAACCGUGGAGGGUCAUUGGAAACUGGGGGAGCUUGAGUGCAGGAGAGAAGAGUGGAAUUCCACGUGUAGCGGUGAAAUGCGUAGAGAUGUGGAGGAACACCAGUGGCGAAGGCAGCGUCGCU